rnacentral:rRNA from 1 species
CCUACGGGAGGCAGCAGUGAGGAAUAUUGGUCAAUGGGCGCAACCCUGAACCAGCCAAGUAGCGUGAAGGAUGACGGCCCUACGGGUUGUAAACUUCUUUUAUAAGGGAAUAAAGUGAGUCACGUGUGCCUUGUUGCAGGUACCUCAUGAAUAAGGAACGGCUAAUUCCGUGCCAGCAGCCGCGGUAAUACGGAGGGUCCGAGCGUUAUCCGGAUUUAUUGGGUUUAAAGGGAUGGCAGAGGGGUUGUUAAGUCAGUUGUGAAAGUUUGCGGCUCAACCGUGGAACUGCAAUUGAUACUGGGGGGCUUGAGUACAGUUGAGGUAGGCGGAAUUCGUGGUGUAGCGGUGAAAUGCUUAGAUAUCACGAAGAACCCCGAUUGCGAAGGCAGCCUACUGGACUGCUACUGACGUUGAGGCUCGAAAGUGUGGGUAUCAAACAGGAUUAGAUACCCGAGUAGUC